ACUACAUAAAGGCGGUGGAAACUGAGAAGCUAGAGUCCGGUAGGGGUAGCGGGAAUCCCAGUGUAGCGGUGAAAUGCGUAGAGAUUGGGAAGAACAUCGGUGGCGAAAGCGCGCUACUGGGCCGGAACUGACACUCAGGGACGAAAGCUAGGGGAGCGAAAGGGAUUAGAUACCCCUGUAGUCCUAGCCGUAAACGAUGGAAACUAGGCGUGGCUUGUAUCGACCCGAGCCGUGCCGAAGCUAACGCGUUAAGUUUCCCGCCUGGGGAGUACGCACGCAAGUGUGAAACUCAAAGGAAUUGACGGGGGCCCGCACAAGCGGUGGAGUAUGUGGUUUAAUUCGAUGCAACGCGAAGAACCUUACCAAGACUUGACAUGUCGCGAACCCGGAUGAAAGUCUGGGGUGCCUUAGGGAGCGCGAACACAGGUGGUGCAUGGCUGUCGUCAGCUCGUGUCGUGAGAUGUUGGGUUAAGUCCCGCAACGAGCGCAACCCUCGUUUUUAGUUGCCAUCAUUAAGUUGGGCACUCUAGAGAGACUGCCGGUGACAAACCGGAGGAAGGUGGGGAUGACGUCAAGUCAGCAUGCCCCUUACGUCUUGGGCGACACACGUACUACAAUGGUCGGGACAAAGGGCAGCAAGCUCGCGAGAGUAAGCGAAUCUCAUCAAACUCGGCCUCAGUUCAGAUUGCAGGCUGCAACUCGCCUGCAUGAAGGAGGAAUCGCUAGUAAUCGCAGGUCAGCAUACUGCGGUGAAUCCGUUCCCGGGCCUUGUACACACCGCCCGUCACACCAUGGGAGCUGGCCACGCCCGAAGUCGUUACUC
rnacentral:rRNA from 1 species